rnacentral:snoRNA from 1 species
UAGGGAUAAAAAUGAUUUUGGUUUUUGGCCAGCAAAUGAACUCACAAGUAUAGGUAAUAUGCUCCAUGAAGGACAGGUUUUUCAAUAUCACUACAGUGGUCUCUGGCCAACUGAGUGGAGUUUAAUAGUAAUUCUUGCCACGAGU